CAUUUUUGUCUAACAAGAUCUGUUGAGAGUACUCAGAAUGUUGCAAAAGAUGCAUUACGGACGAAGUAAUAUAAAUCUCGAGUAAAAAAUAAUAAAAGUGAACACAAAUCAUUUUAAUGAGAACAACGAAUUUCGAAGAGAACAUCUUAAAAUUCGUCAUGAAAAACGACGUGACUAAUAAGACCAAAUGGAAAUAUUAUUAUGAUGAAUCAAUGCAUGGAAAUUUACAACCGCAUAUUCUAGAACCUUGUUCAACAAGUUUUCUUAGAAAAACCCGUGUCUACAGAGUUGCCCACGGCCCUGAAGAGUUGCACAUGGCACGUAUGUUGACGAUUGCACACGCCGCGCGUUACGCUUGUCAAUCUGUUCGGCACCAAGCCCAGCCGUGGUGGGGAACGAUCGAUAAAUUCGAAGCCGCGACGUCGUAUUGGCAAAGUGAGCAUUCUGCUACGUACUACGAGAGUUUGAACUUCAACGAGCGAAGCGAUAAAAGCUGAUCAAGAUGCCGGGACCAGGAUGCGACAAAUGCAAGGAUACGUGCAAGGACUGUAAAUGCGGUGACAACUGCUCAUGCUGCAAACCAGGAUGCAAAGAUCAAUGUGAUUGCAAGACCGGCGGACAAUGCAAAUAGAUAUGUAACCAGAUAUACGAUGUCUCAAAACCGUGGAAUGCGUUCUUAUUAUGCGAAUCGUUAAUAUUUGUACAAUUUCAUGCAAAAUAAAAUUGUUAAUCGUAAAAUAAAAUAUUAAAAAAAAGUUAUUGAGAUAAACUGUAGA